GCGGCGGACGGGUGAGUAAUGCCUAGGAAUCUGCCUGGUAGUGGGGGAUAACGUCCGGAAACGGGCGCUAAUACCGCAUACUAUCAGAUGAGCCUAGGUCGGAUUAGCUAGUGGGUGGGGUAAAGGCCUACAAAGGCGACGAUCCGUAACUGGUCUGAGAGGAUGAUCAGUCACACUGGAACUGAGAAACGGUGCAGACUCCUACUGGAGGCAUCAGUGGUGAAUAUUGGACAAUGGGCGAAAGCCUGAUCCAGCCAUGCCGCGGGUGUGAAGAAGGGCUGCGGAUUGUAAAGCACUUUAAGUUGGGAGGCGUUACCAACAGAAUAAGCACCGGCUAACUUCGUGCCAGCAGCCGCGGUAAUAC
rnacentral:rRNA from 1 species